AACGAACGCUGGCGGCAGGCUUAACACAUGCAAGUCGAACGCCCCGCAAGGGGAGUGGCAGACGGGUGAGUAACGCGUGGGAAUCUACCGUGCCCUGCGGAAUAGCUCCGGGAAACUGGAAUUAAUACCGCAUACGCCCUACGGGGGAAAGAUUUAUCGGGGUAUGAUGAGCCCGCGUUGGAUUAGCUAGUUGGUGGGGUAAAGGCCUACCAAGGCGACGAUCCAUAGCUGGUCUGAGAGGAUGAUCAGCCACAUUGGGACUGAGACACGGCCCAAACUCCUACGGGAGGCAGCAGUGGCGAAUAGUGGACAAUGGGCGCAAGCCUGAUCCAGCCAUGCCGCGUGAGUGAUGAAGGCCUUAGGAUUGUAAAGCUCUUUCACCGAUGAAGAUAAUGACGGUAGUCGGAGAAGAAGCCCCGGCUAACUUCGUGCCAGCCGCCGCUGUAA
rnacentral:rRNA from 1 species